CUACGGGGGGCUGCAGUGGGGAAUAUUGGACAAUGGGGGAAACCCUGAUCCAGCAAUGCCGCGUGUGUGAAGAAGGCCUGCGGGUUGUAAAGCACUUUCGGUUGGGAGGACUGCUUCUAGCACUAAUAUUGUUGGAAGUUGACGUUACCUUCAGAAGAAGCACCGGCUAACUCCGUGCCAGCAGCCGCGGUAAUACGGAGGGUGCAAGCGUUAAUCGGAAUUACUGGGCGUAAAGCGCGCGUAGGCGGCUAGAUCAGUCGGGUGUGAAAGCCCCGGGCUUAACCUGGGAACUGCAUCCGAUAGUGUCUAGCUUGAAAACGGGUGAGGAGAGUGGAGUAACAAAUGUAGCGAUGAAAAGUGAAGAUAUGUGGAGGAACACCAAUGGCGAAGGCAGAUCUCAGGCCUGAUACUGACACUGGGGUGCGAAAGCGUGGGGAGCAAACAGGAUUAAAUACCCCUGUAGUC
rnacentral:rRNA from 1 species